rnacentral:rRNA from 1 species
UACGUAGGGGGCAAGCGUUGUCCGGAUUUAUUGGGCGUAAAGAGCGUGUAGGCGGCCAGGUAGGUCGGUUGUGAAAACUGGAGGCUUAACCUUCAGACGUCGACCGAAACCAUCUGGCUAGAGUCCGGAAGAGGAGAGUGGAAUUCCUGGUGUAGCGGUGAAAUGCGCAGAUAUCAGGAAGAACACCCGUGGCGAAGGCGGCUCUCUGGGACGGUACUGACGCCGAGACGCGAAAGCUAGGGGAGCGAACAGG